rnacentral:rRNA from 1 species
GACAGAGGGUGCAAACGUUGCUCGGAAUCACUGGGCGUAAAGGGCGUGUAGGCGGGAAGGUAAGUCGGGCGUGAAAUCCCUGAGCUCAACUCAGGAACUGCACUCGAAACUACUUUUCUUGAGUGCCGGAGAGGAAAGCGGAAUUCCUGGUGUAGAGGUGAAAUUCGUAGGUAUCAGGAAGAACACCCGUGGCGAAAGCGGCUCUCUGGAACGGUACUGACGCUGAGACGCGAAAGCGUGGGGAGCGAACAGG